GUGUCACUAAGGGAUCCUCCGAACACUUCACUAGGAUGGUUUAUUAAUUAAUCAGGAUUUCCUACUGAAGUGUUUGGGGGAACUCCAAGUGCCAC
rnacentral:pre_miRNA from 2 species